CUGGGGCUGGGGCUCAGUGGUAGAGCACUUGCCUCACACAUGUAAGGCACUGGGUUCGAUCCUCAGCACCAUG
rnacentral:tRNA from 1 species